AAAUUGUUUAAUCAUUUUUAUUUUUAAUUUUUAUUUGUUCGCUUGGGUGGAUGUUUUUGGAUAGAGAUAAUGGCCCUGUGAAGCGAGCAGACAUUUCUACCAUCAUAUUCUUCUAAAUUAUCUCUCACAGUCACAGAUUCUUCUUCAUUCUUAGUGUCCAUGAAUCCACACUUGUUACCUUCUUCCUUCUCUCGCAAAACUGCUUCUUCCACCAUUAACUUUAUUCCUUAUAGUGUUGGUGUUGCUCCGCUGCAUAAUAAUACAUCUCUUCAGCUUGCCUUACUCGAUAGUCAAACCUCAACAACGCCCACAUGCUUCAACUUGCUCUGCUUUGAUUUCAGGAAUUUAAGGUGUCUCCUAGACUAGAUUUCCUUUCAGAUUCUUUGUUGGGGAGCUGUUUGUUUCUGAUUUGAUAACUAAAUUUGGAAUCUUUGUUGCCCAGUUUGGCCCCAUUGCUUGUUUUGGGCUUUGGUUGGUAGCUCAAGAGGAUAAUCAAAUUCUUCUUAGAAUAGAAACCAGAAUCUUGGGAUUCUUUGGUUCUUCUAGGGAUUGGGAGUGCUGUAAAUUUGUUGUCUUUCCUAAUUUUGGGACCUGGUUUUGCUUGCACUCUCCAAUUGGAAGUUAUUUGGUGGGUGGAUAAGGUAACAUUUUCAACAUCUUCCCACACCCACACAUCCUUUGCAAUCUAUCUGCCUGGUUUAGUGAAUUGGAGGUCGGUGGAUUUGUUUUCCCAAGUUUGGAAUUUUCUUUCUAAUGCUGGGUUUAGCUUGACAGUUCCUGUAGAUUUGAUUGGCUCUCUCUCUCUCUCUCUCUCUCUCUCUCAUUCCCAUCCGGAAUCAACAAGAAGUCAGAGUCACUUCAUCUUGGCACUGUUGUUAGUUAACUUCCCUUGUUUACUGCCGUGGAUGAGUUUUUUCCAUGUCUUUGGGUUUGGUUUAAAGGUGGGGCAUCUACUUUGGAUGCUAUGUUGCUGGAUUAUAUCUGUGAUUUCCAUGAACUGGUACCUUACUGGUGGGGUUAUGGACACCAAGGCUGGUUUGCUUGGUGAUGGUGGAAAGAUGUGCCUCAAAUGGUGGGAGAAGAUCCCAAUGAAUAUUAGUAAGAUCCGUCAUCAUUACUACCAGUAUAUUGGGUCCAAGAGAGUCCGCAAAACUUGGUGGAAAAGGCUUUUGGUUUCAUGGGUGGUUGGUUGGACGAUUGGGAGCCUAUGGAUCUUCUGGUACAUGAGCUCACAAGCUAAUGAGAAGAGGAAAGAAACUCUUGCAAGUAUGUGUGAUGAGAGGGCAAGGAUGUUGCAGGAUCAAUUUAAUGUGAGCAUGAACCAUAUUCAGGCCAUGUCCAUGCUGAUCUCGACUUUCCACCAUGCCAAGUACCCAUCUGCUAUUGACCAGGAAACUUUUGCGAGGUACACUGAAAGAACUGCUUUUGAGAGGCCCCUCACGAGUGGUGUGGCAUAUGCUGUAAGGGUGCUCCACUCGGAAAAGGAACAAUUUGAGAAGCAGCAGGGCUGGACUAUCAAGAGAAUGGAUACCCUCGAACAAAACCCAGAUCAUAAGAAUGACUAUUCCCCAGAAGCCUUGGUACCAUUCCCAGUUCAGGAAGAAUAUGCUCCUGUCAUCUUUGCACAGGAUACUGUCUCACACAUCAUCUCUUUUGAUAUGCUGUCGGGGAAGGAAGAUCGCCAAAAUGUGCUGCGUGCAAGAGAAUCGGGAAAGGCGGUUCUAACCGCUCCUUUUCGGCUGCUUAAAACAAAGCGCCUUGGAGUAAUAUUAACGUUUGCUGUCUACAAAAGAGAUCUGCCCUCAAAUGCAACUCCAAAUGAAAGAAUUCAAGCUACUGAUGGGUAUCUUGGUGGAGUCUUUCAUAUCGAGUCACUUGUGGAGAAGUUACUUCAACAACUUGCAAGCAAGCAAACCAUCCUAGUGAAUGUGUAUGACAUUACCAAUCAUUCGCAUCCAAUCAGCAUGUAUGGUUCAAAUGUUUCAGAUGAUGGAAUGCAGCAUAUUAGCACCUUAAGUUUUGGAGAUCCCUUAAGGAUCCAUGAGAUGCGCUGCAGGUUCAAGCACAGGCCACCAUGGCCGUGGUUAGCCAUUACAACUUCAAUUGGGAUCCUCAUUAUUGCAUUGCUUGUUGGGCAUAUAUUUCAUGCAACUGUAAAUAGGAUUGCCAAAGUGGAGGAUGAUUUCCAUAAGAUGAUGGAGCUCAAGAAACAGGCUGAGGCAGCUGAUGUUGCCAAAUCUCAGUUCCUUGCAACUGUUUCCCAUGAGAUCAGAACGCCAAUGAAUGGUGUCCUAGGAAUGUUACACAUGCUAAUGGACACAGACCUGGAUGUAACCCAACAAGAUUAUGUUAAAACUGCCCAGGCCAGCGGAAAAGCACUAGUUGCACUUAUAAAUGAGGUCUUGGACCAAGCAAAGAUUGAAUCUGGUAAGCUGGAGCUCGAGGCAGUGCGUUUUGAUCUGCGGGCAAUUCUGGAUGAUGUUUUAUCACUCUUUUCUGGGAAGUCUCAAGAAAAAGGAGUAGAGUUGGCAGUAUACAUCUCAGAUCAGGUUCCUGAAAUGCUUAUUGGCGAUCCUGGAAGGUUUCGGCAGAUUAUCACCAACCUCAUGGGGAACUCAAUCAAAUUCACAGAGAAAGGACACAUCUUUGUGACGGUUCAUCUUGUCGACGAGCUGAUUGGCUCAAUAGAUGUUGAGACUGAAUCAUCAUCGAAGAACACUUUGAGUGGUUUCCCUGUUGCAGAUAGACACCGUAGCUGGGGAGGAUUUAGGUGUUUCAGUCAAGAGGGAUCUGCAAGCCAUUUCGCAUCGUCCUCUGAUCUCAUCAAUGUUAUUGUAUCUGUUGAGGACACAGGAGUAGGAAUCCCUCUAGAAGCCCAAUCUCGCGUUUUCACUCCUUUUAUGCAGGUUGGACCAUCCAUCUCACGUACACAUGGAGGAACAGGAAUUGGGCUAAGCAUAAGCAAGUGUUUGGUUGGCCUCAUGAAAGGGGAAAUCGGAUUUGUGAGCAUUCCAAAGAUUGGUUCCACAUUUACAUUUACUGCUGUUUUCACCAAGGCCUUCUGUAAUUCAGAUGAUUUUAAGAUCCAGCAAAUCAACAGCCAAUCAAAUGCUCCAUCCUCAGAAUUUCAUGGCAUGACAGCAUUAGUUGUGGACCAAAGACCUGUUAGGGCCAAGAUGUCAAGAUAUCAUAUCCAACGGCUUGGAAUUCGUGUUGAAGUAGUUUCUGAUUUGGAUCAGGGUUUAUGCAGUUUGAGCUGUGGGAAUACAACUGUCAACAUGGUCCUUGUUGAACAGGAAGUUUGGGAUAAAGAUUCGGGCACUUCAGCUCUCUUCAUCAAUAAUUUAAAGAAAAUUGAUUGCCGGGUUCCACCAAAGCUAUUCAUUCUUACUAAUUCUAGUAGCUCUUGCAGAAUAAACUCUGCAACUUCAGUUGUCUCUAACCCAACUGUCAUCAUGAAGCCUCUCAGGGCAAGUAUGCUUGCUGCCUCACUACAAAGAGCCAUGGGAGUUGGCAACAAGGGUAAUCCUCGAAAUGGGGAGCUCCCAAGUUUGACUCUCCGCAAACUUCUACUUGGGAGAAAAAUUCUUAUUAUAGAUGAUAAUAAUGUCAAUCUAAGAGUAGCUGCUGGUGCUUUGAAAAAGUAUGGGGCUGAAGUGGUCUGUGCAGACAGUGGUAGAAAGGCAAUAUCACUGCUUACACCACCCCACCAUUUUGAUGCCUGCUUCAUGGAUAUCCAAAUGCCAGAGAUGGAUGGGUUUGAAGCUACAAGACGAAUACGCGAUAUGGAACGCAAUAUCAGCAACGGUAUUCAAAAUGGCAAAGUUUCUGCAGAGGAUUAUGGAAAUAUUUUAACAUGGCAUGUCCCAAUUCUGGCCAUGACUGCGGAUGUAAUUCAGGCCACCCAUGAAGAAUGCACAAAGUGUGGAAUGGAUGGAUAUGUUUCCAAACCAUUUGAAGCUGAACAGCUCUAUCGUGAAGUUUCACGUUUUUUCCAAUCAACUUCAAAGGGGAAUUUGUAGAGAGGACUUGAAUUGAAGACUUGCUGCUGGCAUAAGCACCGGCGCUCUUUCUCCAGGACGCUUUAAAUGGAUUCAGAGUUUUCCCAGUAGAGAACAAUUCUUUUUGUUGCAGAGAGUGUAUAUAGGAGCCCUGCUUGAUUACAUGGGAUAUUCAUAUUUGAGUGUUAGUUUUUCUCUUCUCGUAUUUUUUCUCCGAGCCAGACAUCAAAGCUGGUUCAUUCUUCCUUGUAAAGUUGAUCCAUCUGCAAGCCCUUUUCACUGAAGUUGGUAACCUGGAAUGUUAAGUUCCAGUAAGAGCUACUUCAAAGUGAGAGAAAUACAAUGCCUUGGAAGCCCUGGGUUUACUAAUAAAAGUUGCAAUCAUUGAAGAGAUAGGUCACCAUUUCUCAGUAUCAGUCAGUUGUAGUAUCAUAGAGACGGAUUUGAUUUGGCAGAAAGAAGGAAUUCUAGCUUACUUGGAAACUGGUGUAGAAUGGCCCUUGUAUAUUACAACAAAGUUAAUAAAGAUUUGUAGCCAGCCUUUCCUUUUUCAUUUUGGUUU